AGCCAUGAGCCCCAGGUUGAGGCCGCUGAACAUGCCGGACAGGCACAGCAGCAGCGAGAUGAAGAUCACUUGCAGCCAGAAGGGCAGCAAGAACUUCUUCUCCUCGCCCACUAUCAUCUUGGUGUCCUCACCGUCGUGGUAAAUCCAGGUGGUCUCGGCCCAGGGAGGAGGCGGGAGUCCAGCCACCCCCGCGCCACCCUUGCCCCCGACGGUGCCACUCGCAGACCCGGAGCCGCCGGCGCCCAAUGCGGGCGUGGAGAGAGACGUGCACAGAAAGUGCUAUCCUGUGCUCGGGGAGCCUGCAGCGUGCUCAACCAGGCCAGUCUCCCACUGCGGGAAAAAAGUUUGAAGACAGCGACCUAAAGAGUACUCCUACCAAAUUUGAGUUGGCAACCUUUUGUCAUAGUCAGCAUAAAUUCAGUAAGUACUGUGCUUCCUGAAUAACCACAGAGAAAAACCCAGAGGUGUCCUGUGGUAGGCCAGAAGGAAGAUAUUUGUAAACCUUAGACGUACAAGUUCUACUUCUGACCACUAGGUGGCGCCAGAACUCUGAAAUAGUGAAAUAGAAAAAGUUUGCUGUGAACCUUAAAUUAACACCCUCUAAAAAUCACUUUUUCUUAGCAGUGGCUUUGCCAUCUUCCCAUAGUCUGUGCUCUGGUGAAGAGCAGGCUCAGAAGACUUUGUGACU
rnacentral:lncRNA from 1 species